UGUAAGCGUAUACCAAAGUUGUUGCAGUUAAAACGCUCGUAGUCGGAAUUUGGCAGUUCCGGAUGUGUGCACGUCGUGUGCGCACUUCGCGGGGAUUGCUUUUGUGGUCUUGCGUAGGAUGAGGCACUUUUAUUAGUGAACGUCCUCACGCAACCACUUUUUACUGUGAGAAAAUCAGAGUGCUCAAAGCAGGCAUUUGCCGUGAAUGUAUUAGCAUGGAAUAAUAGAAUAGGACUUGGUUCUAUUUUGUUGGUUUGUUGGGAUUGAGUAAUGAUUAAGAGGGACAGUUGGGGGCAUUUGUAUUUCGGUGCUAGAGGUGAAAUUCUUAGAUUACCGAAAGACAAACUGCUGCGAAAGCGUCUGCCAAGGAUGUUUUCAUUGA
rnacentral:rRNA from 1 species